UACAGAGGGUGCGAGCGUUGAUCGGAAUUACUGGGCGUAAAGCGCGCGUAGGCGGCUUUGCAAGUCGGGUGUGAAAUCCCCAGGCUCAACCUGGGAACUGCAUUCGAGACUGCAUUGCUAGAGUAUGGGAGAGGGAAGUGGAAUUUCCGGUGUAGCGGUGAAAUGCGUAGAUAUCAAGAGGAACACCUGAGGUGAAGACGGGUUGCUGGGCCAACACUGACGCUGAGGCGCGAAAGCCAGGGGAGCAAACGGG
rnacentral:rRNA from 1 species